rnacentral:rRNA from 1 species
GAUGAACGCUGGCGGCGUGCCUAAUACAUGCAAGUCGAGCGAACAGACGAGGAGCUUGUUCCUCUGACGUUAGCGGCGGACGGGUGAGUAACACGUGGAUAACCUACCUAUAAGACUGGGAUAACUUCGGGAAACCGGAGCUAAUACCGGAUAAUAUAUUGAACCGCAUGGUUCAAUAGUGAAAGACGGUUUUGCUGUCACUUAUAGAUGGAUCCGCGCCGCAUUAGCUAGUUGGUAAGGUAACGGCUUACCAAGGCGACGAUGCGAAGCCGACCUGAGAGGGUGAUCGGCCACACUGGAACGGAGACGCGGUCCAGACUCCUACGGGAGGCAGCAGUAGGGAAUCUUCGGCAAUGGGCGAAAGCCUGACGGAGCAACGCCGCGUGGGUGAUGAAGGUCUUCGGAUCGUAAAACUCUGUUAUUAGGGAAGAACAAAUGUGUAAGUAAAUAUGCACGUCUUGACGGUACCUAAUCAGAAAGCCACGGCUAACUACGUG